rnacentral:rRNA from 1 species
GAUGAACGCUAGCGGCAAGGCUUAAUACAUGCAAGUCGAGGGGCAGCAUGACUGUAGCAAUACAGUUGAGUGGCGACCGGCAAACGGGUGCGGAACACGUACAGAACCUUCUUCGAGCGGGGAAUAGCCCAGAGAAAUUUGGAUUAAUACCCCAUAGUACAACGGAGUGGCAUCACUUUGUUGUUAAAGAUUUAUCACUUGAAGAUGGCUGUGCGGCUGAUUAGGUAGUUGGCGGGUAACGGCCCACCAAGCCUGCGAUCAGUAACUGGUGUGAGAGCACGACCAGUCACACGGGCACUGAGACACGGGCCCGACUCCUACGGGAGGCAGCAGUAAGGAAUAUUGGUCAAUGGACGAAAGUCUGAACCAGCCAUGCCGCGUGGAGGAUGAAGGUCCUCUGGAUUGUAAACUUCUUUUAUAUGGGACGAAAAAAGGGUUUUCUAACUCGUCUGACGGUACCAUAUGAAUAAGCACCGGCUAACUCCGUG